rnacentral:rRNA from 1 species
GGUGUUUACUGUCGAACUGAACACUCUACCGUUUACUGUCUGGUGGUGCUCUUCACCGAGUGUCACCAGUGGUCGGUACGUUUACUUUGAAAAAAUUAGAGUGCUCAAAGCGGUUUUUACACGACCGAAUACUGUUGCAUGGAAUAAUGAAAUAGGACUUUGGUUCUAUUUUGUUGGUCUUCGGAACCAAGGUAAUGAUUAAGAGGGACAGACGGGGGCAUUAGUAUUGCGACGCUAGAGGUGAAAUUCUUGGACCGUCGCAAGACUAACUAAAGCGAAAGCAUUUGCCAAGAAUGUUUUCAUUAAUCAAGAGCGAAGGUUAGAGGUUCGAAGGCGAUCAGAUACCGCCCUAGUUCUAACCAUAAACGAUGCCAACCAGCAAUCAGCCUGUGUUCUCUUGAUGACACGGCUGGCGGCUUCCGGGAAACCAAAGUCUUUCGGUUCCAGGGGAAGUAUGGUUGCAAAGCUGAAACUUAAAGGAAUUGACGGAAGGGCACCACCAGGAGUGGAGCCUGCGGCUUAAUUUGACUCAACACGGGGAAACUCACCCGGCCCGGACACUGUGAGGAUUGACAGGUUGAAGCCCUUUCUUGAUUCAGUGGGUGGUGGUGCAUGGCCGUUCUUAGUUGGUGGAGUGAUUUGUCUGGUUAAUUCCGAUAACGAACGAGACUCUAGCCUACUAAUUAGACCGUGGCGUCCUCGUGCCGCCACGGCGCUUCCUAGAGGGACAGACGG